GGGGUAGUGGCGAAAUCGGUAGACGCAGCGGCCUUAAAAGCCGCAGUCCCCUGGGACGUGUGGGUUCGAGUCCCACCUACCCCAC
rnacentral:tRNA from 2 species